rnacentral:rRNA from 1 species
ACGUAGGUGGCAAGCGUUGUCCGGAUUUACUGGGUGUAAAGGGCGUGUAGCCGGGGAGACAAGUCAGAUGUGAAAUCUGGAGGCUCAACCUCCAAACUGCAUUUGAAACUGUUUCUCUUGAGUAUCGGAGAGGUAAUCGGAAUUCCUAGUGUAGCGGUGAAAUGCGUAGAUAUUAGGAAGAACACCAGUGGCGAAGGCGGAUUACUGGACGACAACUGACGGUGAGGCGCGAAAGCGUGGGGAGCAAACAGG